GCAUAUGUACCCAGUACUUUGUUUGGGCCCCUUUUGCAUGAAUUACUGCCUCAAUGCGGCGUGGCGUGGAUGCUACCAGCCUGUGGCACUGCUGAGGUGUUAUGGAAGACCAGGAUGCUACAAUAGCGGCCUUCAGCUCUUCUGCAUUGUUCGUUCUCAUUUUUCUAUUCUCUAUGGGGUUCAGGUCAGGAGAGUUUGCGGGCCAAUCAAGCAAAGUAAUGCCAUGGUCAUUGAACCAGGUUUUGGUGCUUUUGGCCGUGUGGGCAGGUGCCCAGUCCUGCUGAAAAAUGAAGUCAGCAUCUCCAUAAAGAUUGUGUGCUAAAGGAAGCAUAAAGUACUCUAAAAUGUCCUGGUGGACGGCUGCACUGACUCUGGACUUAAUAAAGCACAGCGGACCAACACCAGCAGAUGACAUGGCUCCCCAAACCAACACAGAGUGUGGAAACUUCACACUGGACUUCAAGCAUCUUGGAUUGUGUGCCUCUCCAUUCUUCCUCCAGACUCUGGGUACUUGGUUUCCAAAUGAGAUGCAAAAUUUGCUC